rnacentral:lncRNA from 1 species
AAACAAAAAAGUGGGAUAAGGAUUUGGUGGACAUUCCUGUAAUGUAAAGAGGGAGAUUGGUACUGAGGGAUUCUAAGAUGAGAAAGUAAAGGGCAGAAAGUAAAAGUUGGAUCUUUGUUUCCUUACUCCUCUCUCUCAGGAUAAAUCUAGAUUACAGGAGGGGAGCCUGGAGGGAAGGAGACAUGGAGCAGGAUCACUCAAAUAGACCUAAUGAAAUAAUACACGGUAACUUCAUAUAUCACCUGAGAAGGACACAUUCAUUCUGUGUGGGAUGAGAAACAAGGCAAUGAUGGACAAAGAUGUGCCUCCAGCCUUAAAUCAUUAGUGAAACUUACCUGGAGAAGGAAGAAGAAGAAGAAGAGUGUUGGGAAAGAAAACAAGGAUAAGGGCAAGGGGGACAAGGAGGAAGAACAAGAAGAGGAAGGAGGAGGCAGAGCACCACCCAAUUUUGGCUCUGGAGAUAUAUAAAGAGAUUGCCAAAAGUAUUGGAGGAAGCUUCUUCGCUAUUUUGAGAGAAUUUCUGAAAGUGACCUCUUUCCCUAGAUGUAAAUGAGGAAACCUAUUUCUAUAUGUCAAGGUUCUUACUUGUGCGUGACAGAAAUGAAUUGUGGAUAGUUUGAGCAGGGAAAAUAUUAUUAAAUGAUAUCAGAGAGUUCACAGAAUCUGAAAAAUUCAGAAACCAGGCUUCAGCCUACACACCAGAAAAUAUCCUUUUGUAGACUGCUGCCCCACUAGUAGAGGCAGCUGAACACUAAAGACUUCCACCUGAACCUCUGCAUCUGCUGCUUCUGGGAAUAGUAUUGCCAACCUUGCCAGGACUUAUACAUGGCUCUUGCAUCUUCAUGUCACUAGAUUCCACAAAGCUGCAAGGAAGGCUAGGAAGGAAUUUCUGAAUUUUACAUUGGGGAAGUAAAGACUCAUAAGAUGGAGAACUCCAUACAGGAAAAGUUUUCAAAGAUGCCUUGUGGCCAUAAAGAAUGCAUAUGGCCACUACAUCUUGGGAGUUGUUGGCAACUAUCUUGUAAUCUUGAUAGGGAAUUAGACAUGAUGAAACUGACUGCCAGAACUCAAGAGAGUUGGAAAGAAACUGAGUGAACAAUGAUAACUCAGAGAUGCUGAACUAAAGCAUACCUGAAGCCCA